CUCAAUCAAAAAUCAGACAGCGCCACAGGUCGUCACCAUGGAAGUCAUAAAAGAUGUUGCAAUUUCCAUCAGCAUAGGGGGCAUAGUGUCUGAAUGAUGUUUAUAUUUGAAGACUUUGACAUUCAAAGAUUUUUAUUAUCUAUGUCGCAAAAACUAAAGAAAAUCGGCACGAUCUCGUGAUUGAUCUCCUUGACUCCUCUAUGAUGAUUAAGGAAAGUAACCAUGGCACUCUUCACUAUCUGCCUAAGUUGGAAGAACCAGAAAUGUAGGUUUAUGAAUCCAAUAACAAACACAAUCAGCAUUAAUUCCAAGAGUUUCUAAGUAGUUCCAAGACCAACCGGAACGGAAAUGCAAUUGUAAGUUACAUGCAACCUUCUUCAUUUCAUGGCUUCUGUUCUAUUACAUUAGUCCAGAAACGCUUAUCCAGGUUUGUAAAUUUAUAGAUUCAUGAAUUGCCCAUUUUAAAUUUGUUCCAAAACCACUUUUGUUGUUGUGGAAUAAAAAGUCUGUCAUAUUUUAUGCAUGUAUUUAGUUUAUUCGAAAAGCUAAUCCUUGCUCAUACAUGAGCUUCCCUGGAACGAAAUAACUAAGCAGAAUCGAGAAUCUCAACUUGAGUAAUGUACAUAUUGGUGAAAAUUUAGUGCCCCGAAAAACCACGGAUUUUCGGAUGGUGAUACAAUGUCUAAGGAUCAGACAGAAAGGCAUAAUCAAUGGGCAACAAAGAUCCUUCUUUUGUUGAAUGAGAGAAGGGAUGGAUAAUGUAUUCAUCAGAUUGAAAAUUAUAUCAUGUUUUGGUACGACCUAGUCCUUCAAAAAAGACCAGUUGGUUGAGUUUUUAAGACAGACAAUGGAACAAGGAUGAGUUAUGCUUUUCACUGUCUAAGGGAGUUGAGUAUGUAGUUGUGUCUAUUUGAGUAGUUGGCAUAGCUGGAUUUUCACAGCUUUACUACGAGAUGGAUUGAAUCUUAUUAUACAUUAUGGUUUGUGGGACUCUUAAGACAGUAGUGUGUCGAAGUUUCGUUUCGUUUUGUUACUUCAUGAAUCAAAUCGCAUGGGAGAUGACUAUUUUGACA